UACGGGGGGGGGUAAGCGUUGUUCGGAAUUACUGGGCGUAAAGGGCUCGUAGGCGGCCAACUAAGUCAGACGUGAAAUCCCUCAGCUUAACUGGGGAACUGCGUCUGAUACUGGAUGGCUUGGAUCCGGAAGAGGGAUGCGGAAUUCCAGGUGUAGCGGUGAAAUGCGUAGAUAUCUGGAGGAACACCGGUGGCGAAGGCGGCAUUCUGGACCAUAACUGACACUGA
rnacentral:rRNA from 1 species